UUUCUUUCUCCUUUUAUUUCAGUAAUUUAGAAUGGAGUUUUCAUAGGCAGAAACCAAUUUUCUGAAAGUCUUAAUUGAUGCUGGAGUCACAUAGAUCACUUAGAUGGCCUUCUGCAGGCCUCAGCUAUAUGGCGCCCUCCAUGCUGGGCUUUAAGGGGAUGAGACAAGGUUUACAGCCUAUUUGCUUCCCAAUUCUUUUCUUUUUUUUUCCUUUUUUUUUUCUUUUUUCUUUUUUUUUCAGAAAACAGGAUCCCCAAAGCACCCAACCCCCUGGAAGGCAGACAGUUUCAGAGUUUACAGGCUCAUAUCCCAGUGAAAGAAAGAUAAAGGGGAAGUGGGAAGUGGCUGACCUGACAGAGAAGUUAAUAAGGUAUUGGCAGCAGUCAAGACAUGAGAAGAAGGAUACUUUCCUCUUCACCGAAAUUGAUCUGAGCAACAGGGCAUACAGUAAAAUUAAACAGA
rnacentral:lncRNA from 1 species